rnacentral:rRNA from 1 species
UAGGGAAUCUUCCGCAAUGGGCGAAAGCCUGACGGAGCAACGCCGCGUGAGUGAUGAAGGUCUUCGGAUCGUAAAACUCUGUUAUUAGGGAAGAACAUAUGUGUAAGUAACUGUGCACAUCUUGACGGUACCUAAUCAGAAAGCCACGGCUAACUACGUGCCAGCAGCCGCGGUAAUACGUAGGUGGCAAGCGUUAUCCGGAAUUAUUGGACGUAAAGCGCGCGUAGGCGGUUUUUUAAGUCUGAUGUGAAAGCCCACGGCUCAACCGUGGAGGGUCAUUGGAAACUGGAAAACUUGAGUGCAGAAGAGGGAAGUGGAAUUCCAUGUGUAGCGGUGAAAUGCGCAGAGAUAUGGAGGAACACCAGUGGCGAAGGCGACUUUCUGGUCUGUAACUGACGCUGAUGUGCGAAAGCGUGGGGAUCAAACAGGAUUAGAUACCCUGGUAGUCCACGCCGUAAACGAUGAGUGCUAAGUGUUAGGGGGUUUCCGCCCCUUAGUGCUGCAGCUAACGCAUUAAGCACUCCGCCUGGGGAGUACGACCGCAAGGUUG